rnacentral:rRNA from 1 species
CCUACGGGGGGCAGCAGUGGGGAAUAUUGCACAAUGGGGGAAACCCUGAUGCAGCAACGCCGCGUGAGUGAUGAAGUAUCUCGGUAUGUAAAGCUUCAUCAGCAGGGAAGAAGAAAGACGGUACCUGACUAAUAAGCCCCGACUAACUACGUGCCAGCAGCCGCGGUAAUACGGAGGGGGCAAGCGUUAUCCGGAUUUACUGGGUGUAAAGGGAGCGUAGACGGGUGUGCAAGUCAGAAGUGAAAGUGCGUGGCUCAACCGUAAAACUGCUUUGGAAACUGGAAGGCGUGAGUACAGGAGAGGCAGGAGGAAUUCGGGGUGUAGCGGUGAAAUGCUGAGAUAUCACGAAGAACCACGAUGGCGAAGGCAGCCGACUAAACGGAGACUGACAUUGAGGCUCGAAAGUGUGGGGAUCAAACAGGAUUAGAUACCCGAGGAGUA